AGCGAACGCUGGCGGCAGGCUUAACACAUGCAAGUCGAGCGGGCGUAGCAAUACGUCAGCGGCAGACGGGUGAGUAACGCGUGGGAACAUACCUCUUGGUUCGGAACAACACAGGGAAACUUGUGCUAAUACCGGAUAAGCCCUUACGGGGAAAGAUUUAUCGCCGAGAGAUUGGCCCGCGUCUGAUUAGCUAGUUGGUGAGGUAAUGGCUCACCAAGGCGACGAUCAGAGCUGGUCUGAGAGGAUGAUCAGCCACAUUGGGACUGAGACACGGCCCAAACUCCUACGGGAGGCAGCAGUGGGGAAUAUUGGACAAUGGGCGCAAGCCUGAUCCAGCCAUGCCGCGUGAGUGGUGAAGGCCCUAGGGUUGUAAGCUCUUUGUGCGGGAAGAUAAUGACGGUACCGCAAGAAUAAGCCCCGGCUAACUUCGUGCCAGCAGCAG
rnacentral:rRNA from 1 species